rnacentral:rRNA from 1 species
UACAGAGGCCUCGAGCGUUAGGCGGAAUCACUGGGCUUAAAGCGUGUGUAGGCGGACUUCUAAGUAUCUUGUGAAAUCCCACGGCUUACCCGUGGAACGGCUGGGUAUACUGGUUGUCUUGAGCCACUUAGGGGCUACCGGAACAAAUGGUGGAGCGGUGAAAUGCGUAGAUAUCAUUUGGAACGCCAAUGGUGAAAACAGGUAGCUGGGAGUGUGCUGACGCUGAGACACGAAAGCCAGGGGAGCGAACGGG